UACGAAGGGGGCUAGCGUUGCUCGGAAUCACUGGGCGUAAAGCGCACGUAGGCGGCUUUCUAAGUCAGGGGUGAAAUCCUGGAGCUCAACUCCAGAACUGCCUUUGAUACUGGAAGGCUUGAGUCCGGGAGAGGUGAGUGGAACUGCGAGUGUAGAGGUGAAAUUCGUAGAUAUUCGCAAGAACACCAGUGGCGAAGGCGGCUCACUGGCCCGGUACUGACGCUGAGGUGCGAAAGCGUGGGGAGCAAACAGG
rnacentral:rRNA from 1 species